GGAUGUGAUGGGGAGCGAAAUUUAGUAGCGAAGUAGCUGAUUUCACACUGUCAAGAAAAGUCUCUAUCGAGGUUAAAGGUACCCGUACCGCAAACCGACACAGGUGGGUGAGGAGAGUAUCCUAAGGCCAGCGAGAGAACUGUUGUUAAGGAACUCGGCAAAAUGACCCCGUAACUUAGGGAUAAGGGGUGCCACCAUCAGGUGGCCGCAGAGAAUAGGCCCAAGCGACUGUUUACCAAAAACAUAGGUUUCUGCUAAGUCGCAAGACGAUGUAUAGGAGCUGACGCCUGCCCGGUGCUGGAAGGUUAAGGGGAUCUGUUAGAGCAAUCGAAGCAGUGAACUUAAGCCCCAGUAAACGGCGGCCGUAACUAUAACGGUCCUAAGGUAGCGAAAUUCCUUGUCGGGUAAGUUCCGACCCGCACGAAAGGCGUAACGAUUUGGGCACUGUCUCAACAACAGACUCGGUGAAAUUGUAAUUCCGGUGAAGAUGCCGGAUACCUGCGACAGGACGGAAAGACCCCAUGGAGCUUUACUGUAGCUUGACAUUGGGUCUUGGUACUACAUGUACAGGAUAGGUGGGAGGCUUUGAAACCAGGACGCCAGUUUUGGCGGAGCCAUCCUUGGGAUACCACCCUUGUAGUACUGGGACUCUAACCAUAGGCCAUGAAUCUGGUCUUGGGACACUGUCAGGUGGGCAGUUUGACUGGGGCGGUCGCCUCCCAAAAGGUAACGGAGGCGCUCAAAGGUUCUCUCAGUACGGUCGGAAAUCGUACGUAGAGUGUAAAGGCAAAAGAGAGCUUGAUUGCAAGACAUACAGGUCGAGCAAGGAUGAAAAUCGGACUUAGUGAUCCGGUGGUUCUGCGUGGAAGGGCCAUCGCUCAACGGAUAAAAGCUACCCUGGGGAUAACAGGCUUAUCUCCCCCAAGAGUCCACAUCGACGGGGAGGUUUGGCACCUCGAUGUCGGCUCAUCACAUCCUGGGGCUGUAGUAGGUCCCAAGGGUUGGGCUGUUCGCCCAUUAAAGUGGUACGCGAGCUGGGUUCAGAACGUCGUGAGACAGUUCGGUCCCUAUCCGUCGCAGGCGUAGGAAAUUUGAGAAGACCUGUCCUUAGUACGAGAGGACCGGGAUGGACG
rnacentral:rRNA from 1 species